CCAGUCGAGCGGCGAACGGGUGAGUAACGCGUGGAUAACCUGCCCAGAGGUGGGGGAUAACCCGGGGAAACUCGGGCUAAUACCGCAUAUGACCGUGAGGUCAAAGGGGGCUCGCAAGAGCUCUCGCCGUUGGAGGGGUCCGCGUACGAUUAGCUAGUUGGUAGGGUAAUGGCCUACCAAGGCGACGAUCGUUAGCCGGCCUGAGAGGGUGAUCGGCCACACUGGAACUGAGACACGGUCCAG
rnacentral:rRNA from 1 species